CGUAAAGCGAAACUGCGAAUGGCUCAUUAAAUCAGUCUUGGUUUAUUUGGUCUUGGUUGCGAACGGGGAUAACUGUGGCAAUUCCAGAGCUAAUACAUGCAAUUAGCGCCGACUUCGGAAGGCGUGCUUUUAUUGGAUCAAAACCGACCGGGUUCGCCCGUCUCUUUUGAUGACUCUGGAUAACCACGCGGAUCGCACGGUCUUGGGCCGGCGACAUACCAUUCAAGUGUCUGACCUAUCAACUUUCGAAGGUAAGCUACGGGCUUACCUUUGUGAUAACGGGUGACGGGGAAUCAGGGUUCGAUUCCGGAGAGGGAGCCUGAGAAACGGCUACCACAUCCAAGGAAGGCAGCAGGCGCGCAAAUUACCCAUUCCCGACACGGGGAGGUAGUGACGAAAAAUAACAAUACAGGACUCUAACGAGGCCCUGUAAUUGGAAUGAGUACAUCCUAAAACUCUUAACGAGUAUCCAUUGGAGGGCAAGUCUGGUGCCAGCAGCCGCGGUAAUUCCAGCUCCAAAAGUGUAUGCUAAAGUUGUUGCGGUUGAAAAGCUCGUAGUUGGAUAUUGGGCGGGCGUGGUCGGUCCGUCGCAGGGCGUGCACUGGCCGCGUUCGCCUCGAGCUUCGGUGCUCCGUCGGUGCUCUGGACUGGAUGUCGGCGGUGGCCGAAAAGGUUACUUUGAAAAAAUUAGAGUGUUCAAAGCAGGCUGGUCGCCUGAAAAAGUGGUUUGCAUGGGAAAAAAUGGGAAUAAGGAACCUUUGGUUCC
rnacentral:rRNA from 1 species